GAGCAAACCACUUGUGCUCGCUUCAAAAAUAGAUCAGCAUGGCCCCCUGCUCAAGGAUGACACGCAAAUCUCCGAAGCGUUCCAUUUAUUA
rnacentral:snRNA from 1 species